rnacentral:rRNA from 1 species
UGGGGAAUAUUGCACAAUGGGCGAAAGCCUGAUGCAGCAACGCCGCGUGAGUGAUGAAGGCCCUCGGGUUGUAAAGCUCUGUCUUUUGGGACGAUAAUGACGGUACCAAAGGAGGAAGCCACGGCUAACUACGUGCCAGCAGCCGCGGUAAUACGUAGGUGGCAAGCGUUGUCCGGAUUUACUGGGCGUAAAGGAUGCGUAGGCGGAUUUUUAAGUGAGAUGUGAAAUACCCGGGCUUAACUUGGGUGCUGCAUUUCAAACUGGGAAUCUAGAGUGCGGGAGAGGAGAAUGGAAUUCCUAGUGUAGCGGUGAAAUGCGUAGAGAUUAGGAAGAACACCAGUGGCGAAGGCGAUUCUCUGGACCGUAACUGACGCUGAGGCAUGAAAGCGUGGGUAGCAAACAGGAUUAGAUACCCUGGUAGUCCACGCCGUAAACGAUGAGUACUAGGUGUAGGAGGUAUCGACCCCUUCUGUGCCGCAGUUAACACAAUAAGUACUCCGCCUGGGAAGUACGAUCGCAAGAUUAAAACUCAAAUGAAUUGACGGGGUCAUAGCUGUUUUCC